rnacentral:lncRNA from 1 species
UGUAACUCAUACAUGAAAUAUUGAUUUCAGAUUUAGGACGAGUUAUUGAAGUAAGUUCAGUAACUUAUACACAAAACAUAGAAAUAUAAAUGAAAAUUUGCUAAGCUUUCAAUAACUAUUACAAUUUGAAUACAUAAUUGCAAAAGUAAAUGAGUUUAUUGGUAAAAACAUAAAGGAUGAGCAAUCAAAAUUUAGUUCCUAAAUAGGUAUAUAGUAAAAGUGGAUUUACCAUCUAAGCAUCUAUACAAAAUUACAAAGGUCACAAAUAUUGUCAACAUUUAACACGACCACAAAAAAGAAACCUCAAUCUUCUUAAUCUAAAGCCACCCCAUCUCCAUAAAUUAAAUCUAAACCGAGGCAACUUUCUAAAUGACUUAGUUCUUUUCAAUUUGUGCUUACCACAUCUUUGCUUUUUCUUGGUGUCAGCAAAAUCUUGUUUUGUGAAACUUCCUUUUGAAGCAACCCUACUAGUAGAUUCAUCUUUUUGUUGUUGAUGAUGAUGUUUUUCUAUGGAUUUCCAAGGAUCAUCAUGAUCAGAAUCACUACCCCAUAAAAAAUGUGGCUUAAUGAUAGGUGAUCCACUAUAAUCUUGAAAAUAUGAUGAUAAACUAGUAUGCUCCAUGUCAAAUAAUCUCCUUAAUGAUGUGCUCCCUUCUUUCAUCAAGUUUAAUAAAUUACUUUUCUUUGAAGAUGAAGAUGAAGAACUUGAAGCUGGAGUAGAGGAAGAAUAUGAUAAAGAAGAAGUAGUAGAAGAAGAAGAGGAAGAAGAACAAGAAGAAGUUGAAGAAGAAAAGAGAGAUUUUUGGUACUCAAUGAUUCUUUUAAUGUUAUAUCUUUGAGCUUCUUUUUCCAUUUUCCAAAAAGAAUGUGCAUCUUCUUCUUCUUCAGUAAUUUCAAAUGUCAUUUCUUUGAAUCAAAAAAUAGGAAUUUGGUGACUAAAACAUAUAAAUUAGAUUUGGAUUUUGGAUAUAUCUAUACAAAAAAAAGUGUGUUGUUUUGUUGAGAAAGAAGAAUAACAAGGGAAAAUGGAGGAAGUUGAAUUUUUAAACUUAAUAAUAAUUCAAAGCCGGCAGUUGGGGCAAAUUUGUAGAUCAAGUUGUUUUAUUGAGGAAUGUUAAUCAAUUUAGGAAGUAGUAAAAUACAUGAUUCAUUGACUUGUUCAAUGUUUGUUAUUGGUUGAUGAUACCUCUAGUUUGUCCUUAAUUAAUGAAUAAUUAUAUUUUUAUAACGGUGUCCAUAUACUAGUUUAAUCAUCAUGGUGGGAUCGUGUUAGAGUUGUGCAUUUUAGUAAUAUGGGAUUAGUUUAACAAUUUAUGUAUGAUUUUAUGUAGGAAUUAAGUUAUGCAGCGCUUAGUUAUUUCAAAUUUUUUCUCUAUAAAAUAAUACAUCAAUUUUCUCAUACCUUAAAUAUAUAUGGUUUAAUCAUCAUGGUGGGAUUGUGUUAGAGCUGUGCAUUUUAGUAAUAUGGAAAUUAGUUUAACAAUCUAUGUAUUAUUGUAUGUAGGAAUUAAGUUAUGCAACGCUUAGUUAUUUUAUCUUUUUUAUUCUGUAUCAAUAAUACAUAAAUUUUCUCAUACUUUAAAUAUAUAUUAAUUAUAUGUAUUUCUAAAUUACUAACAAAAUAUCAUAUUGAAUGCAUUGAAUUUUAUAUAUAACCAAAGAAUCUUAUCAAAUAUUAUUUAGUUAGGAUUUAAUACAUUUUGAUCAACCAUCAAACAACCUUGAAUGCGUAAGAGUUGUUCCAUUUAAUUAUAAGGAUACGUCAUUACAUGAGGUUUCAGAAAAAUAUUACUUUUCAAAGAAAAGUAAUUUAACUAAGUUAUUCUUUAUUAAUUCUCCAAUCUUAGAUCACGUUAAUUUAUAAUCUAAUAAAUAAGCAAACUUUUAUUUACGUAUUUGACCAGGUUUCAUUUAGCUGUUGAAAAUAAAAAUAUGCAAAAUUAAAAAAAAACAUAAAUUUUAAAAAGGUAAAUAUUAACCGUCUUUUCCUCAUAAAGUUAUGAAAUAACUAAUGUGCAUCAUUUAAAUAUAAUUUUUUGUAUCUAUUAGAUAUUCAUAUUUAAAAUUUACUGUGUGCAUGACAUUAAUGAUUUCCAAUAAAUAUUUUGAUAUUUUAUUUUGUACAUAAUAUAUUUCUUAUAAAAAUAUUAUAUUAAGUAUAAUAUAAUAGUUGAGUAUGUUGUUAUAGAAAGGUAAUUUAAAAAAAAAAUAUACCACUAUAGUAAACAUCUGUAUUGUUACGUUAUAGGUAGAAUUUUGUUAUAAAGAAGUAAAAUAUAACAUAAAAAAAUAAUUUCAAAGAAAAUCAGAUCAGUAUAGUAAAAUAUUGUUAUAACUAAGUCACGUUAUAGAGAAAUUUGACUAUAUUUCAAAUUAAUUUAACAACUAAAAUUAAAGGCUCUCCCCGAUUUUUUUUUUUGUUUUUCAUUCGGUGUCCAGUGUCCGUAUUAGAGCCCCGACUAAUCCAGAUCGCGCGUUGCAGGGUCCAUUAAGGUGGCAGCGCUCCCAAUAGAGUUUUCUCCAUACUCAGGAUCAAACCCUCGACCUCUGAUUAAGGGUGAAGCAGCUCCAUCCACUGCACCACAACCUAUGUUUGUACUCCCCGUAUAUGUUUGUCCCUUCAUUCUCUUUGAAUUGAUAUUAUUAGACUUUAUAGAUAAAUAAAAGUAAUAUUAGCUCAAUUUUGAAGGCCUCUUUUUUUCUCCUUUUUUUUAAAGAAAAAAUAGGGUUAUAAGUUUCUUUCAAAAAAGAAGAUAAUGAUAAUGAUAACACAAAUUUUCGUGAGCACUACAUUCUGAUUAUCACUGUACCUUUUUAUAAAAUAUUUUUUUCUUGAAAAAAUAAAGUGACGUCCCUCAUUGAAGUUUGGCUUUAGAUCACUGAUAGUAUUGAGCCGACUCUGAUGAUUGUUAAAGGAUCAUUUGGUUCACAAAAAAAGUUACCAUGAAUUAUAGUUUGAGAUCAUAAUUUUGGAACUAAUAUUUUCACAAAGAAGGUGAGAUAAAACAAUAUCAAAUUAGAUAGAAUAAGAUAAUUUAUCCAUGAUUAAGGUUUGAUUAAAUUUAUAUUUUAUUUGUUGAAAGUGUAAAUUUAUUCCGAAUUAAAUUUAUAAAUUUAUCCUAGACUAAAUUUAUAAACUUAUAUCUUUAAUCAAAUAAAGUAAAAUUUUAAUUUCGAUCUUACUCCUAAGAUAUUCUACUCAUCUCACUUACCAUACGAUCCCAAAUAUGACACAUUCAUUAAUAAAGUUCCCUUAAUAGUACUUAUUGUUUAUGUUAUUUGACUAAAAGACCCUUAAUAUAUGCAUAGGAAAAUCUAAAAAUUUUAGGAUUUAUGAAGAGAAAUUUUAUCUUUCUAUUAAAAUACACGAUAAAAUAAGUAAUUUGUCAUAGAAUUUUAAUCUUAUUAUGUUUUUUUGUUUUCUAAACUUAAUCCUUGACUAAAAAUAUGCCAAUAGAUACUAAAAAUUUUAUAACAACAAUGACAAGUGAAACCUUUUGACAUCUAGUCAUCUACAAAGAACAAUGUAGAUGGAACCUUUUGACAUCUAGUCAUCUACAAAGAACAAUGUAGAUGGAAGUACAAUAGACAAACAUUUCAAAAAGGAUUGAGGAGAAAGAGUUAUUAGAAGCAUUAUUAGUGUGAAACUUUAUUUGGAAAUGUGGUGGAAAAUUACAAGUCGUGUAACUAACAUUUAGGUAAUAAAUGAGACAUUAUAGUUAAAAAUUUAUCUAAUUAUAAGAUAUAAUUAUAGUUUAGUAGUUAAAUUUAUCUAAUUAUAAGAUGUAAUUAUAGUUUAGUAGUUAAAUGUAUAAAUUAGAAAAGUGUACAAAUAUAAAUUCACUUUGGAGAUUUGUAUACUAAAGUGAAUUUGUAUAUUGGUUCCGAAAUUUACUUUAUAUACAAGUACAAACUUUUAGAGAUUUGUAUAUGAGCCUCAAAAUUUGAUUUCUAUAUAAAUAUAAACGUAUAUGAGCCCCUCCUAAAUUAGAGAUUUGUAUAUGAGCGACGAAAUAUACAAAUAUAUAAAAAUAUAUAUAUUGCUAUUUAAUCAAAACUUUAGCUGCAAAUAGUAUAUGUCUGGUAAUUAAACUUGAUGUUUUCUGAUUCGCAUAAUGUUUUCAAUAAGAACUAGACUAAAAUUGAUGAACUAGAUAACUGAAGGGCAUUGGAUCAUAAUCUUUACAUAAAUUCCAAUAAGUUUACCUCCAAAUAGUUCAUAUUGCUUCUUUUAACAAAAUUAUAUAAAAUUUCUGAUUUUAAUUUUUUGAACGGAAAAGGGCCUAAAAUAUCCUUCAACUAUGUGAAAUGGUGUAGAAAUGCCCUCCAUCUACCUAUUGGCCUGAAAUACCCUUUCCGUCAACCUAUUAGGCCUAUUUUGCCCUUUCAUUUAACAGUUGACCAAUGACCCCCUUUAUUAAUGAUGUGGCACAUUUUUAUUGGCCAAUUAAUAUUUAAUUAAAUUAAUUAAUUUUAUUUUGUAAAAACCCAACAAAAUAACCCGCCCCAAUUCUUUUAACAAAACAGAAAACUUCAUUCAUCCAUCAUAAUCUACUCAUCUCAUCUCUUUUCUCCAAUCCAUCAUCUUCUCAAUCAAAAGCAUAUUGUUCGAGUAACAUGCUUGGAGUAACAGAUUUUUUCAAAGCUAAAUUAAGUAUAAUUUAGGCGUACUUUGAAGGACUGACUGACUGGAAAUUUGUGCGGCUAUGUUUCUUUUUUUUUAUCUCAAAAGAAAAUUUAAUACAAAGUCAAUUUUGUGCAGCAUGAACAUCUGUUGUUUCAUAUAUCCAUAUAAAAUAACAAUUUAGAUUCAGAUCAUAAGAACUUGUAUAUCCUUUGGACAUAUGUGGUAAAGAUGUCUUGAGUUUUGACAUAAAAUAUCCUAUGUCGACCUAAACUAGGUAUUGGCUGAGUGAGCUGGUGCUUGGUGUUGUCAAUUACUUUCAGCCAAUCGAAUUUGUGGCACUAGCUUACUAGAAUCUUAUUUGGACAUAAGCUUCCUACUCAUCUAUAUUAGUUGGAGUGGGCUACGGUAACAUACAUGGGUGCAUGUCGAGGCAUUAGAAUAGCCAUAAACUUUUAUAUCUAGGUUACGUGUGUGUGAAUAAAAUACCAUAUGCAGGUGAUAGGAUAUAUACAACUAAUACUCAUGGAAGUUUAUGUUAUAAUUAAUGUGUAUAUACCUGUCUGGCCUCUUGACGAAAAUAAUGAAUAAUCCUUUGGUUUUAUGGAUGGAUGUCAUUAUUGUAUACAUUUGACUAGAAUUUACCCAGAAGUUCAUGUAUUGAACUAAUUUUUGAAAUUGAUUUUUUACUUUCCUUCCGUAUGAUAUGAUAUAUCACUCUGUGGGUCUACACUGGGUAUGUUAUUAUUGCUAUGAUGAAAAUAGGACAUUAUCAACACUUGCACUCUGAACAACGGGAAUGCUACACUAAUACUAAUAUUUUUUAAGUUGGCAUUCAAGCGACAGAACAAGUAAUGGUUAUCAGAACUAAACAAAGACACUAAUAUUUUUUUCCUAUGUUAGGUGUUUCAAUUGAGAUUCCCUUCUAGUCAAGGAAAAAAAUAUUUCUUCCCUAAUUACUUAAUGUUAUGUAAAGUGGGAUUGAGGAAGUGUCAAGGAAUUGGGAGAGAACAUUAUUGCUUCUACUUGCAUUCUAAGGGGAAAGGUCAAACUAGCCAUAUGAACACCUAAAGGAUAUUUCCUAGUCUCUUAUUCCUUAGUUUUAGCAGAGAAGAAGCUCCGAACCUUGCCAACUAACAGAAAACAUCUUUAGAAGAAAAUUCUGAAGGCCCGCUGUCAGCUUGCCGCUAUUAGGCAAGAGGUCAUCUUGUGUUUCCUCACAAACCAUUCUGUAAUGUAAUUUUUUUUCUUCCUCGGGACAUCUUUUGUUAGAUAGUUUUUAAAACAAAAAUUUGAUCGACUUUCUCAUCAUAUUUUUCUGCAAAUUAUUAUCUCACUGCUAGCGACUUAAUUAUUUUUAAAUGGAUAAAGCCAUCGACAUAGUCGGAGUCGCAGUAGAUAAAGGAGUUCUUGCGGAUAUCGUUGACGUUCAAGAUAUCGCUCACAGUCAUGCACUCGCUCUCACUCACAUUAACCUUCGCAUUUUUAAUCUUGUUCAUGCUCUCUUUCUCGUUUCACUUCCCGAUCUCAUUCACCUAGGUGAGUCUCAAUCGUGCUUUUGGCCAUUUGGUUUUGAUGUGCUUGAUGACUUACAUAGCUGAUAUUGCAGACAUGACUGGAUGCAUAAACCUUCUCAAGAUGAACUGAGUGUUAGCUGUGGGCGGUAUAUAUUACUGAUGUAUUGUUGUACUGGUACACUUAUGCUGAAGCUGAAUUUGAGUUGAUAGUGUAAACUACUUUUUCUAUAUUUGUGUUUAUUGUUUUUUGUUGCUUCUGAACUCCCUAAAGGAAAUUUAGCGCGAUAAUUUAAUUAUUUCAGCUCCUUUUAGGAUAAUGUAUCACAUCAGUACUUGUGCCCUUUACAUAUUUUACUUAGUGAAUUUUUCAAAGGUGGGAAAGAUUUAACUAUCUCCAUAUAAGGGAAGAAUUGGUUUAGUUGAAGUUCUAUGAGAAUACACUUAUGUAAAUCAGUAUUCUAUUUUCUUUUCUGUAGCUCCCCGUAACUGAAUCCCAAGUGUCCUUUACAAUUUGAUUCUAUGUAAUUGAAUUUUGAAAACUGAGUUUAGCUCUGGAAUAAAAAUGGUUAAAGAAGCAGGAGGUGAAUGUCCUUUUCAACUUCACGAUCUCCCAUAAGUAUAUGAGAAUUGUAUUAUGUUCUAAGGAUUUAGAACAGGCAGGUUGUAAACAGAAGAAAAUACUGAUAUUUUUAAGAAAGAAGAGUCAAUGGAGAAAUGAGACGAGGAGAGUUUUCUGUUUUGUUAUAAUCAAUGAAUGAGGUUUUUUGUUUUGUUAACGGAAUUGGGACGGGUUAUUUGGUUGGGGUGGUUGGGAUUUUAGAGUAAAAAAUUAACUAGUUUAAUUAAAUAUUAAUUGGCCAAUAGAAAUGUACUACGUUAUUAAUGAAGUGGGAUCAUUAGUCAGCUGUUAAAUGAAAGGUCAAAAUAGGCCUAAUAGGUUGACGGAAAGGGCAUUUCAGGCCUAAUAGAUAGAUGGGGGCAUUUUUACAUCAUUUUACAUAGUUGAAAGGUAUUUUAGGUUCUUUUCUAUUUUUGAAUACAUAAUUUGACAACGAUAUAUCCUAAUAGAUACAUCCUAACAAGAAAUUAAUGUUCCUUAAAAAAAAAAAAUUAUUUGUGGCGCAAAUUACAUGACAUUCGUUGUAAUUUACUUUCAAAAUCCAAAAAUACCAUAAUCAAUUCAAAUUUUAAAAUUCAAAAAAAGGAUCAUCAUUCUUCAAGAAUAAACAAGCUUUUCUCUCUUCCCUGUUCUUUGCAUCUCGUCUUUUUUUUCGAACAAUAUAUAAUGAGUCUCUUCGACAACAUGUUUCAUACCCUGCAUUGAGAUACAUUAUAAUAUAAAAGUUUAGAUAACUACUUCGUUGCUCAUCAAUUAAUGUAUCAGUUUAUUAAUAACUAUAUUCCAACAAAUUAUAAUACUUGAGAUACAUUAUAUUUUAUAAUUAAUUAUUGAGAUACAUUAUUCUGUAAGCAAAAAUAAUAUAUAGGAUCAUUCUUAAAUGUAUCUUAUGUAUAGAUCUAACGUAAAUUAAGAGAAAUACAUAAUUUUUAGAAGUAUUCUGAAAUAUAAUCAAGAGAGAUACAUAAUUUGUAGAUGUAUCUGACACAUAGAUUAUAUCUUACAACAUUAUUAAUGUAUCUUAAAGUGUUUUAUUUUCAAUUCAAACAAAUAUUACCUUUGUAAGAGAUUCUCUUGUUGUAACUUAUACAUCUUUUGUUUUGAAGAAAGAGUUUUUCAUCUUUCAAUGCAUAACUGUAUUAUCUUCUUAAGAAAAUCUCUUGAUGUAUCUUCAACUCAUUUGCUUUCUUUAGUCAGAACAUCUGUUUUUUUUUGUGUCUUCUGAUACAUACAUAUUUAUAUAUCAGGACCUUAAUUCUCAGUUAUAUACAUCACUAUUUUAUCUUAUUUAGGGGUGAUCGUGUGUGUUGUUCGGAGAGCUAUUCUCCGAUAAUAUUAGUUGACAGUGUCGAAUUUCUCAUUUCGCCGCUCAGUUUCUCUAUGAUUGAUUACGACCUCUUCCAAAAUAAAUUCAAAAACAAAGAGAAAAUGAAGGGCGGAGAUGGGGGUUAAAUUUUGGAUGAAGAGUUGGUUUACUGAAAAUUUUAAAAAAAGGAGGAGGUUUAUUAAAUUGGUAGAGAGAAGAUAUUUGGCUAAAUUUUCAUAGGGACAAUUAAUGUAUUCAAAUUUUUAGGGUGAGAGUGAUGUAUCCAAAAAUUUAAAGAGAGAGAAUGUAAAUCAGAAAUUUUAGUAAUUAAUUGAAAGGGUAGAAAUUUUAAGUAGUCUAGAUAAUUAAAUUGUGGUAUUAAGUAAUUUUUUCUAUUAGAAAAAAUCACACCCCCAUGCUAAAUAAGACCCUAUAUUAGUAUAAGGAUUCUUUUUUUAAUUUACAAAACAUACUAAGUAUUUACAAAACAUAACUUAUUUGAGUUGAUAACAUACCAAGAUUUUGGCCUGAUUUUAAGGAACAGAAAAUAAUUUUUGGCUUAAUUAUAAAUCAGUUACCACAUUCUCAUAUUCUUUAUGUUUUCUUCCUCUCUCUCUGGUAAUACUUCAACACCAUUUAUCAUCUUUGUUAACAUCAUCUCUUAUCUUCUUGAACACCAUUUUUUUACUAUUCAAACCUUAAUUGUUGUCUUUUGGAUUCAUUGUCUUGUGUCAAACAAUAAGUAAUAGUUUUUCUAGUGUGAAAAGUUCUAGAUUUCUGCUUUCAACAAGUCAAAAAUACAGGAUCAAAAUUAAGUUUUCAAUUGAAUCCAUUCACUCGUCGUUGAUUACGAGUACAAGAAGAAAAAUAAAUUCGCAAAAAAGAAAUUGUCCUUAACCAAAUAAAAAUUGAUUUGAACAUAUUACACAUUACUACUACGGGUAAUUUAUCAUAAUGCAUACCAUAUGGAUAUCAUAAUGCACUCACAAUUGGUACAUACUGAUACAAUCAACAAACAAAUUCAACUACCAUAUGAAUAUCAUAAUAUAUACCAUUUUCCUGACAUCAAAUAGCAUAUUCGACGCUAAAAUUAUUACCAACAAGAUACCAUAAUCUAUACCAAUUGUGCACAAUAGUACAAUCACAAAUUAUAAACAUUAAAUAUAACGAAAGAACAAAUUUCACUAUAAAAUUCUACUCCAAUCUAUGCCACUGUCUAUAUCAUAGUUUAUACAUAUUGAAUACAAUCAGCAAACAAAUUUCAACUAUAUAUCAUAUGAAUAUCAUAAUAUAUACCAUUUUUCAUACAUUAAAUAACACAUUUCAUACUACAAUUAUUACCAUCAAGAUAUUAUCAAUUGUGCACAAUAGUUGAAUGGAUACAACUACUACAAUCAAAAAAAAAUCUAUGCCACAAUAUUCCUCACUACUAUCGUUCAUGUAUCAUAAUUUAUACUAGUUUUUUACUGUUAUAAAUAUAUUACCAUAUAUAGUGAAUGUCUAUUUAUGGAAAAGUUAGAAACCCCAAGGUUAGUUUUCCACUAUAAAGGGUUUACCUUCUUUGUAAUUCACCCAUCAAGAGAAUCCCUCAAGAGAAAUAAGAAUUACUCUUUGUUCUCUCUCUAUUGUUCUUGUUCUUGCUUUAUAUUUCAUAACACGUUACUAUAAUACCCAUGCUUUUUCUUAGCUUGAAAAUCCUCUCAAGGAUGUUAGAACUUACUUUGAAAUAAUAAUUCAUUCUUAUACAUAUGGUAUUUCCAUAAUUUUCACUUCCUAUCGCGUGGAAAAUUGAAUAAGCUUUCCAUCGAUCUAUAAUUCGCCCAAAUCCGACACCCGGGCAAAGAGUUAGAGCCUUUUUAAUGAGACAGUGUUUGACCUGAGCCUUCAGAGCGUCGCGAAGAUAGCUCAAAUGGAAAUUGUCAAAUAUCAGUGUUGCUCAUUGGCACGUCGUGCCAAACUUCCAAGUUGUAGACAAGGUGGCAACGUGAUAGCUCUGUGUUGCGCCACCGUGCAGUUUCUCAAUUAUCAAUUUCCAGUGACACGACGCGAUAACGCCGCGUCACACCAAGGGCCCAAUUCAGGAAAUUUUACUGAAAAUUAAAUUACGUGUCCAAGGUUAAAAGGGUCAAUUCCCCCCUCCUAUCCCCCCCCCCAUAUAUAAGCUUCCAAACACACGAUUUAGCUCUUAUUCAUCCAAAAUAUUGAUAUUUUUCUCAAAUACUCUCAAGAACUCAAGCUAGGAUUUUCAUAGAAGGUCCAAUUUCAAGAAGGUUUCACCAUCAAUCUUCAUGUAAUCACGAACUAAGGUAUGCAUAGUGUUCCUUCAUGGACUCCUUUCGUCCAUGAAGUCCAAGAAUCCUUUUUAACUACAAGUUAAGGAUUUUAUUCAUGUUUUCAUGCUUUGUAUGUUCUCUUUCAUAUUGAUAAAUAUGAAAUUGGAUUCUACUCCAUGAUUGUUGAUAGUUUCUAUGUGGGUUUAAUUACUAUAGCCAUAGAUUCUUGCAACCCUAAGAUUUAAACCCUUGAAUGAUGAAAUUAGAGAUGAAUCAUGAUGUUUGAUUGUUGUAUAAUGUUGUUUAGACAUUCUAUGCCUAUUAUGUGUAUGAUUAAAUGCCUAGAUGAAAGAACAAUGCCCAACAAUUAGGAUAUCAUGAAAUUCCCAUGUAUGUUCAAGCUUAUGCAUAUCACAUGUUUGAUGAAGUGCUUCAAUAUAUGAAUUAUGAAUUGUGUUGUUGGUCAUGUGUUCAAGUAAGCCAUGCUAUGUCAGUUUCUUCUCAUCGAGUCCUGGGGGUACUUAUGCCCAAACAUUUAGUUGUGUGCCUAGAUCCAUGUCAUGUUUUCACGAUACUCUCUGUCAAGUUAUGAACUCUUAGACUUCAGAUAAUCUUAUGACGCAGGAAAAAUCUCCAUGAUCUCAUGACUCAGUCAGUUGUUUGAUAUCAGUAGUAUUCCAUCAACCACAGAAAUUUAGUAACUCAGUCCAUGCUCAGUUCAGUUCAGUAAAUCAUGUUCAGUUUCUAUUCAGAUGGGAGUAGGAAUUAGCAACGAGUGAACCCAAGGAUGGGGACUCACCUUUUAUAUGAAGGUGUGAUUCCUAGAAGCAAUCCUUGCAUUCCAGAACUAUGUAGCCAGCAUAGGUUGAGAUAUCGUAGCCUGCUAUAUGAGGUGGCUUAACCUGCUAUGUGAGGAUUCCCACCAUUCUCUCUAGAGCUACCUGUUAUAUGAGGGUUACUCAUAUGUUGUCCUUACUAGUGGUGCGGUAUUGACACCCUUCCAAUCAGGGCAUAGAUUGGAACCCAGCUCAGCUAUUAUUGCACAUUUGAGGCAUGUCGAUUAGAUAAUACUUCCCACAAUUUCAUGUUACAGAAUCAGGACUGUCAGAUACAGUCAAUUAGCCUCAGUAAUAGAACUCAGAUAGUUCUUCAGAUUUUAGGACUAUCGGAUACAGUCAACUCAGAUACUGUAUGAAAUUCAGAUAGUUCUAUCAGAUUCAGGACUGUCAGCUACAGUCACCGACAUUAUCAGUUAUAUUUAGAUACAGUCAUUCAUGUUAUCAGUUAUGUCAUGUUAUCAAUAUCCAGACUCAGUAGUAAUUCUACCACGAUAUCAGUAUCGUGUUAUCAUGUUGUCAGUUAUAGUUGUGUAUUUAUGUAUCCAUUCUUAUGUUCAUGUUAAACAGUCAGUUAUUAUUGAUUAUGCAUGUAAACCCUUGCAUAUAGCCUACCUCACAUGUAUACUCAGUACACUCCAUUGUACUGACGCAUUCGCGCUAUGGUGCUUUCUUUUUAUGUUACACCAUAGGUUCAGAGACACGAGUUCUAGAUCAAAAGUAGAUUCCAGAUUCAGCAGUCAGAGUAGAAGUGAGUCCUCAUCCUUCAAGGACAUAAUGAUUUUCUAUUAUCUCAUUGAUUAGCUUAUUAGUUGAAGUUAGUUGGGGAUAUAUCCCAUCAACUUCUAUUAUCUCAUUGAUUAGCUUAUUAGUUGAAGUUAGUUGGGGCUAUGUCCCAUCAACUCCUCAUUCAGAUUCUUAGACAGUAGAGGCUUUCAGACUAGAUGCAGGCUAGUUAUAGACUAUCAUAUUUUAGACUUUAGUUUUGUUUUAGGUAUUCUAUUACCUCACACAGAUGUUACGUUAUUUAGUUACGUUUAUGAUCAAACCUUAUGGUCUUUCAGUGCAUGUUUUCGCAUUAUUAUGGUAUCUUAUGCAGUAUACAGGUACAAAUAUCAGUCAUGGGUUAUCUUUUGGUCCCUCGGGGUCAUGAGCACCGUGUAGCAUUUCUGUUCAGCAAAUCAAAAUUAGUAUCAAAGCCAAGUUUAAUAGAGUCCUAGGAAGUCUGGAAGCCGCAUCUAGUAGAGUCUUGUUCAUGGGUGUGUUGUGCACCACAUUUAUGUGCAAGAGGAUAUGAGAUGUCUUAAGAAUAAUUUUUCCUCUUUCAAUAUUCAUGUCAUGCCUGUGAGCAUAAUCACAAGUCAGUCUCAGUCUAAUCCGUUUCUCCCUUUCUUCUAUAGAACAUGCUUUCUAAAAGAAGAAACAGAAAUCAGUCAGCCCCUCAACCUGAAGAACCUUUGGGUUAUCAUAUUUCUCAUACGGAGUUCAGGACCACAUUUACCACUCUUACUCAAUCAGUCGCUGCUCAUAAUGAAUGGCCAACAGUCAUUUCGGCCAACCCAGUGGCCAACUCAGCCGCAGCUAGAAUUUGAGACUUCACCCGAAUGAAUUCUCCAACCUUCCUUGGGUCUAAGGUAGAUGAAGACCCUCAGGAAUUCUUAGAUCAAGUUCAGAAAGCGACAGACGCCAUGGGGUGACUACUGUUGAGAGUGCUGAGCUAGAUGCAUACCAGUUGCAGGAUGUGGCUCAUGCUUGGUUCAAACAGUAGAAGAGAGAAGCUAAGGUUCUAGAGGUCAUCAACCUCAGGUAGGGCAAUAUGAUAGUGAAAGAGUAUUCUUUUAAGUUUACUCAAUUAGUCAGGUAUGUCCCUCAUGUGGUUAUAAAUAGUAGAUCCAAGAUGAGUAAGUUUGCUUUAGGGGUGAACGACAGCGUGGUUAAUGAGUACAGAUCCGCCAUGCUGAAUAAUGACAUGACCUUAGCUAGACUUAUGACCCAUGCUCAGUAGAUAGAGAAGUAGAAGAUUAAGCAGAGGGAGAAACAGAAUAAGAGAGCAAAGACAGGUAGUUUCAACUUCGGUCAGCCAAAGUCAGAAGGAGGAAACCGUUCUCAGUUUCAUCCUAAGUCAUCAUUUCAAGCUCCCUCUACAUCCAGUGCUCCAGUUCCUAAGUUUAGAGAGGGUAACAAAGAUAGAACUCCAGGCUCUAAGACCUAGGGCAGUGUUAGCAAUGCCCGUACCUAUCCUCUUUACCAGACUUACAGUAAGCACCAUCAAGGUGUGUGUAGAGCAGGUAGUGGCAUUUAUUUUGAUUGUGGCAAGCCAGGCCAUAGAGUUAGAGACUGUCUAUAGCCAGGUCCUCAGCGUAAACAAAAUCGCUCCUCAGCUCAGUCCGAUCGUCCAAAUCAGCAGGGUGCCACUUCCAGUGCUACUAGUGGGCAAUGUCCAAAUCAUCUCUAUGCUCUUCAGACUCAACACGAUCAGGAAAGUUCUCCUAAUGUAGUUACUAGUACAUUAUAAAUCUUUCAUGUGCAUAUUUACGCUUUGCUAGAUCCAGAAUCUUUCUUGUCUUUUGUUACUCCUUAUAUAGUAGUUAAUUUCAAAAUCAGUCCUAAAAUUCUAGCAGAGCCCUUCUCAGUCUCUACCCCAGUGGAUAAAACCAUUAUAGCCCAGCGGGUAUACAGGAACUACCCGAUUAUGAUAUUUCAUAAAGUCACUUCAAUAGACUUAGUCGAAUUAGAGAUGAUUGAUUUUGAUGUCAUUCUCGGCAUGGAUUGNNNNNNNNNNAAACAGUUCAGUUUUAGUUCCCGAAUGAACCCAUCCUAGAUUGGAAGGGUAGUGUAUCCGCUUUCAGGGGUCAGCGUGUUUCCUACCUUUGGGAAAGGAAAAUGAUAUCUAAGGGAUGUUUUUAUCAUCUAGUUCAUGUUAGAGAUUCUAGUUUCGAGACUCCUAGUCUUGAAUCAGUUUCAGUUGUAAGUGAAUAUUCAGAUGUCUUUUCUAAAGAUCUUCCAAGAAUUCCCCCCGUAAAAGAAAUACACUUCGAUAUUGAUCUUCUUUCAGACACUCAGCCUAUCUCUAUUCCACCAUACAGAAUGGCACCAAUAGAACUUAAGGAAUUUAAAGAACAGUUGAAGGAUCUCUUAGAUAAGGGAUUCAUCAGACCCAACAUUUCCCCGUGAGGAGCACCAAUCUUAUUCGUGCGCAAGAAAGACGGUUCACUCAGAAUGUGUAUAUAUUACCGUCAACUCAAUAAAGUCAUGGUCAAGAAUAAGUAUUCUCUUCCUAAAAUCGAUGACUUGUUUGACCAACUUCAGGGUGCCAAUUAUUUUUCUAAGAUUGACCUCAGAUCCGGCUAUCAUCAGCUCAGCGUUACAGAAUAUGACAGCCCAAAGACAGCUUUCCGUACGUGGUAUGGUCACUUUAAAUUUCUAGUCAUGUCAUUUGGUCUUACCAAUGCCCCAGCCACUUUUAUGGACUUGAUGAACCACGUGUUCAAAUAGUACUUGGACAUGUUCAUCAUAUCUUCAUAGAUGAUAUUCUGGUCUAUUCCCGCACUGAGCGUGAUCAUGUAGACCAUCUGAGGAUAGUACUUCAGACUCUCAGAAAUCAUUAGUUAUUGGUCAAAUUCAAUAAGUACAAAUUUUGGCUAAGAUCAGUAGCAUUUCUUGGCCAUAUUAUUUUCGGUGAUAGCAUUAGAGUAGAUUCUCAAAAGACCGAAGCGAUAAGGAACUGGCCUCGCCCUGUCUCUCCAUUAGAUAUCAGGAGUUUCUUGGGUCUGGCUGGCUAUUAUAGAUGGUUUGUUGAGGGAUUUUCUUUUAUUGCAUCCCCUAUGUCUAGAUUGACUCAGAAAAAAGUUAAGUUUCAGUAGUUAGAUCCAUGCGAGAAGAGUUUUCAAGAAUUAAAGACUCGACUCACCUCAGUUCUAGUUCUAGCAUUACCAGGUGAUUCAGAUGGUUUCAUAAUAUACUGUGAUGUAUCUAGAGUGGGUUUAGGUUGUGUCCUCAUGUAGCAUGGUAAGGUCAUAGCUUACACCUUCAGACAGCUUAAACCCCAUGAGAGGAAUUAUCCUACUCAUGAUCUUGAAUUAGCAGCCAUAGUAUUUGCCUUGAAGAUUUCGAGGAAUUAUUUAUAUGGUGUUCAUGUAGACAUCUUCACAGAUCAUAAGAUUCUUCAGUAUGUCUUUUCUCAAAAAGUUCUUAAUCUUUAUCAGAGAAGGUGGUUAGAGCUCUUGAAAGAUUAUGACAUAAGUGUCCUCUAUCAUCUGGCCAAGGCCAAUGUAUUAGCCGAUGCUCUCAGUAUGCUCUCUAUGGGUAGUGUUUCUCAUAUUGAGGAUAGUAAGAAGAAGUUAGCUUAAGAAGUACAUCAGCUUUAUAGACUAGGUGUUCGCUUAGUCGACUUUUCAGAGGGUGGUGU